rnacentral:rRNA from 1 species
GUGCCAGCAGCCGCGGUAAUACAGGGGGGGCAAGCGUUGUUCGGAAUUACUGGGCGUAAAGGGUCAGUAGGCGGCCAACUAAGUCCGACGUGAAAUCCCAAAGCUUAACUUUGGAACUGCGUCGGAUACUGGAUGGCUUGAAUUCGGGAGAGGGAUGCAGAAUUCCAGGUGUAGCGGUGAAAUGCGUAGAUAUCUGGAGGAAUACCGGUGGCGAAGGCGGCAUCCUGGACCGACAUUGACGCUGAACGACGAAAGCUAGGGGAGCAAACGGGAUUAGAAACCCCCGUAGUCC